rnacentral:rRNA from 1 species
UGCGUAGGCGGCGCGGUAAGUCGGGUGUGAAAUCUCGGAGCUUAACUCCGAAACUGCAUUCGAUACUGCCGCGCUUGAGGACUGGAGAGGAGACUGGAAUUUACGGUGUAGCGGUGAAAUGCGUAGAUAUCGUAAGGAAGACCAGUGGCGAAGGCGGGUCUCUGGACAGUUCCUGACGCUGAGGCACGAAGGCCAGGGAGCAAACG